rnacentral:misc_RNA from 1 species
CAACCAUCAAGCCCUGCUUGUGUUGGGGUCCUGCGGCUGCCCGCAGGCCCUGAAAACCAGUGGCGGGCUCGCUAGUCACACCGAGCGCAGUAAUACAUCUCGCUUUGGUCGUGCGGCGGGUUCUUGCCGUUAAACACCCCCCUUCCAAAGG